UACGUAGGGUGCGAGCGUUGUCCGGAAUUAUUGGGCGUAAAGGGCUCGUAGGCGGUCUGUUGCGUCAGGAGUGAAAACUCGGGGCUUAACCCCGAGCCUGCUUCUGAUACGGGCAGACUAGAGGUAUGCAGGGGAGAACGGAAUUCCUGGUGUAGCGGUGAAAUGCGCAGAUAUCAGGAGGAACACCGGUGGCGAAGGCAGCUUACUAGGCUGUAACUGACGCUGAGGCGCGAAAGUGUGGGGAUCAAACAGG
rnacentral:rRNA from 1 species